rnacentral:lncRNA from 1 species
UUUUUUUUUAGGGGAAUUUUUGAGAAUUUUCUGGGAUAAUUUCAGGGUUUUUUGGGGAUAUUUUUGGGAUAAGUUCAGGAUAUUUUUGUGAUAUUUUCAGGGUAUUUUGGAGAUAAUUUCAGGAUAUUUUGGGGAUAUUUUUGGGGUGGUUUCAGGCGGUUUUUGGGGUGGUUUCAGGCUGUUUUCGGGGUGGUUUCAGGGUUUUUUCAGGAUAUUUUGGGGGUGGUUUCAGGCUGUUUUGGGGGUGGUUUCAGGCUGUUUUUGGGGUGAUUUCAGGCUGUUUUUGGGGUGGUUUCAGGGUUUUUUCAGGAUAUUUUGGGGGUGGUUUCAGGCUGUUUUGGGGUGAUUUCAGGCGGUUUUCGGGGUGGUUUCAGGCAGUUUUUGGGGUGGUUUCAGGCUGUUUUUGGGGUGGUUUCAGGCUGUUUUGGGGGUGCUUUUGCAGGCACCAAGAACGUGAUCCGGGCCUGCCGGGCCGCGGGGGUGCCGGUGCUGAUCUACACCAGCAGCAUGGAGGUGGUGGGGCCCAACACCCGCGGGGACCCCUUCGUCAGGGGGGACGAGGAGACGCCGUACCCCACGCGGCACUCGGAGCCGUACCCGCUCAGCAAGGCCCAGGCCGAGCGCCUCGUCCUCGAGGCCAACGGGAAACCCGUGGCGGGCGGGGCCCGGCUGGUGACGCUGGCGCUGCGCCCCACGGGGAUUUUUGGGGAGCGGCACCCCCUGCUGGAGCUCUUCUACCGGCGGGGGAGGGGCCUGGGGGGGAGGGUCCCCCGGAGCCUCCCCCAGA